rnacentral:rRNA from 1 species
UCCGUAGGUGAACCUGCGGAAGGAUCAUUGUCGAAGCCUAGAAAGACCGACCGCGAAUGAGUUUACAAUCGUGGAGAACGUUGCUAGUCUUUAGGGAUCUAUGAUGCAAUCGAUGUUGAGUAGACCUUUGCUUCUCGUUCUCCGAAUUUAACGAACUCCGGCGCGAACAGCGCCAAGGAUUCAGAAUGUAGAGAACUUGAUCCUCUAACCUGUUGAUCGGGUUGCGAGGAUCUUGUUUGAGUAAAAUUCAUAACGACUCUCGGCAACGGAUAUCUUGGCUCUCGCAUCGAUGAAGAACGUAGCAAAAUGCGAUACUUGGUGUGAAUUGCAGAAUCCCGUGAAUCAUUGAGUCUUUGAACGCAAGUUGCGCCUGAAGCCUUUAGGUCUAGGGCACGUCUGCCUGGGCGUCAUGCACUGCGAUGCCCUUCAUUCAAAAUGUCUGGUGAAUCUUGGCCUCCCGUUAAACUCUAACUUUCGGAUGGCUUAAAAAUGAGCAUCGAGAUCGGAAAUGUCGCGACAAGUGGUGGUUGAAUGGGCUUUGCCCUUUGAACUUAGCACGUUGAGACAUUUCCCUUCCUAUCUCUAUAGAAAGACCUAAUCGGAGUGCGUUAAUCGCGCUGCCAGCAUCGUGACCCCAGGUCAGGCAGGACUACCCGCUGAGUUAA